rnacentral:rRNA from 1 species
GACGAACGCUGGCGGCGUGCUUAACACAUGCAAGUCGAACGGAAAGGCCCUGCUUUUGUGUGUUGCUCGAUUGGCGAACGGGUGAGUAACACGUGAGUAACCUGCCCUUGACUUUGGGAGAACUUCAGGAAACUGGGGCGAAUAUCGGAUAGGAGCUCCUGCUGCAUGGGGUGGGUAGGAAAGUUUCGGCGGUUGGGGAUGGACUCGCGGCGUAUCAGCUUGUUGGUGGGGUAGUGGCUUACCAAGGCUUUGACGGGUAGCAGGCCUGAGAGGGUGACAGGCCACAUUGGGACUGAGGUGAGGCCCAGACUCGUAAGGGAGGCAGAAGUGGGGAAUAUUGCACAAUGGGCGGAAGCUUGAUGAAGCAACGCCGCGUGCGGGAUGACUGCCUUCGGGUUGAAGACCGUUUUCGUCUGUGACGAAGCGUGAGUGACGGUAAUGGGUACAGAAGGCCCGGCUAACUAAGUG